rnacentral:rRNA from 1 species
UACAGAGGUCUCAAGCGUUGUUCGGAUUCAUUGGGCGUAAAGGGCGCGUAGGCGGCGCGGUAAGUCGGGUGUGAAAGUCUCGGAGCUUAACUCCGAAACUGCAUUCGAUACUGCCGUGCUUGAGGACUGGAGAGGAGACUGGAAUUUACGGUGUAGCGGUGAAAUGCGUAGAUAUCGAGAGGAACACCUGCGGCGAAGGCGGGAUUGCUGGGCCGACACGUGACGC